CAAAUGCUGGCUGCUUCACAGCUAAAUUAGCAUUUGAAAUAAUUAGACAGUUCAUCUAGGUCUACCUAUUCAGCACAUGACUCUCGAUUCUCCGCUGGAAUCGGGCACAAUUCCAGUAACCUCUCUUGUAGUACUUGCUGAAGAAGGUUAUCUCCAGGACCACAUUUUGCUAUGAUGACACUCAUGCAGACAGACAGAAUCGCCUGGGGAAAUAAUGACAGUCACACUAAUAACAAACCUGGCACCGCACAUCACCCAGACAACCCAGCUGAACUCAAAGCUGGUUAGUCCAGUUUUUCAUUCAGUACAGCAGACUGACAUUCAUCAUGACUGUGCCAUCAUGGGCAGGCGCUGGAUGGAUCAAUACAACCCAAU